AUUGAACGCUGGCGGCAGGCCUAACACAUGCAAGUCGAGCGGAGCGGCGGACGGGUGAGUCAUGCCUAGGAAUCUGCCUGGUAGUGGGGGAUAACGUCCGGAAACGGGCGCUCAUACCGCAUACUAUCAGAUGAGCCUAGGUCGGAUUAGCUAGUUGGUGGGGUAAAGGCCUACCAAGGCGACGAUCCGUAACUGGUCUGAGAGGAUGAUCAGUCACAAUGGAACUGGGAAACGGGCCAGACUCCGACGGGAGGCAGCGGUGGGGAAUGUUGGACAAUGGGCGAAAGCCUGAUCCAGCCAUGCCGCGGGUGUGAAGAAGGUCUUCGGAUUGUAAAGCACUUUAAGUUGGGGGGCUGUACCAACAGGAUAAGCACCGGCUAAGUGAGUGCCAGCCGCCGCGGUAAUAC
rnacentral:rRNA from 1 species